GACGAACGCUGGCGGCGUGCUUAACACAUGCCAGUCGAACGGAAAGGCCUGCUUUCCCUUGUGGAUUGCGGGUACUCGAGUGGCGAACGGGUGAGUAACACGUGAGUGAUCUGCCCCCAACUUGGGUAUAAGCCUGGGAAACUGGGUCUAAUUCCCGAUAGGACUGCAGGGUGGUGCCUGUGGUGGAAAACGAUUUUCUAGUGGUUGGGGAUGAGCUCGCGGCCUAUCAGCUUGUUGGUGGGGUAAUGGCCUACCAAGGCGGCGACGGGUAGCCGGCCUGAGAGGGUGGACGGCCACAUUGGGACUGAGAUACGGCCCAGACUCCUACGGGAGGCAGCAGUGGGGAAUAUUGCACGAUGGGCGGAAGCCUGAUGCAGCGACGCCGCGUGGGGGAUGACGGCCUUCGGGUUGUAAACUCCUUUCGACCGCGAGGAAGCCACCUGGUUGGAAGGGUGGUGACGGUAGUGGUAGAAGAAGCACCGGCUAACUACGUG
rnacentral:rRNA from 1 species